rnacentral:SRP_RNA from 1 species
GCCAGGUGUGGUGGCGUGCACCUGUAAUCCCAGCUACUUGGGAAGCUGAGGCGGGAGAAUCGCUUGAACCUGGGAGGCAGAGGUUGCAGUGAGCUGAGAUUGUGCCAUUGCACUCUAGCCUAGGUGAUAGAGUGAGACUCCGUCUCAC